CUACGGGAUGCAGCAGUGAGGAAUAUUGCACAAUGGGGGGAACCCUGAUGCAGCAACGCCGCGUGGAGGAUGACGCAUUUCGGUGUGUAAACUCCUUUUAUAUGUCAAGAAAAUGACGGCAGCAUAUGAAUAAGCGCCGGCUAACUCCGUGCCAGCAGCCGCGGUAAUACGGAGGGCGCAAGCGUUACUCGGAAUCACUGGGCGUAAAGGACGCGUAGGCGGGUUGAAAAGUCAGGUGUGAAAGCCUACAGCUUAACUGUAGAACUGCACUUGAAACUCUCAAUCUAGAGUAUGGGAGGGGCAGAUGGAAUUAGUGGUGUAGGGGUAAAAUCCGUAGAUAUCACUAGGAAUACCUAAAGCGAAGGCGAUCUGCUGGAACAUUACUGACGCUAAGGCGUGAAAGCGUGGGGAGCAAACAGGAUUAGAUACCCUCGUAGUC
rnacentral:rRNA from 1 species